rnacentral:rRNA from 1 species
CAGUAGCCGCGGUAUGACAGAGGAUGCAAGCGUUAUCCGGAAUGAUUGGGCGUAAAGCGUCUGUAGGUGGCUUUUCAAGUCCGCCGUCAAAUCCCAGGGCUCAACCCUGGACAGGCGGUGGAAACUACCAAGCUGGAGUACGGUAGGGGCAGAGGGAAUUUCCAGUGGAGCGGUGAAAUGCGUUGAGAUCGAAAAGAACACCAACAGCGAAAGCACUCUGCUGGGACGACACUGACACUAAGAGACGAAAGCUAGGGGAGCAAAUGGGAUUAGAUACCCCCGUAGUCCCUGUCUCUUAUAC